CACAAGCGAGAGAUUCCAGCAGCCCAAGGAACCCCCAACAUGGGAAGGAGUACUUCAUGCUGUUAAUCCCUUAGUUAGAUGCCCUCAAAAAGUUGCCUUCAUAAAAGCUGGUACCGAAGAUUGUCUCUACCUCGACGUUUAUGUGCCUACUUGGGCGAAACAAUCUCACAAGCUACCUGUAUUAGUUUUCUUUCACGGUGGAGCCUUUUUUAAGGGCAGCAAGGAAUUAUACAGUCCACAAUUUCUAGUCGUUAAGGGCGUGAUAGUAGUGACUGUUAACUACAGGUUAG
rnacentral:misc_RNA from 1 species